UACGUAGGGACCAAGCGUUGUCCGGAAUCAUUGGGCGUAAAGAGCGUGUAGGCGGCUUGUUAAGUCUUGCGUGAAAUCUCGGGGCUCAACCCCGAGCGGUCGUGAGAAACUGGCAGGCUAGAGUGCGGGAGAGGAGAGUGGAAUUCCUGGUGUAGCGGUGAAAUGCGCAGAUGUCAGGAAGAACACCCGUGGCGAAGGCGGCUCUCUGGAACGCAACUGACGCUGAGACGCGAAAGCGUGGGGAGCAAACAGG
rnacentral:rRNA from 1 species